CUUUGAGAGAUCCCUGAAGAGAACCCACUCCCUUUCGGAUUUCAGGACACAAAAGAAUUCUCGAAGGGGGCAGAUUUGCUCCGUGAAGUCAGUUGUCCAAGUUGGUUGGAAAGUGGGUGACUUCCUGGGAAGUCUUCUUCAUUAUCUUCUCCCAUGGGCUGGAUUUUUUCUCUCACUGCUAUAUCCAAAAGUGAAAAUCCACACUCAAGGUGAAUUCAGCCUCCAAAUGAAGCUGCUAAUGGACAACUAAAGCCACGAUUACAAUAUUGUAUACCUGAAACUCAUGUUGUAUACCAAUUUUGCCUCAAAACAAACAACAAAUGUGGGUCAAUUUUGGUCUCUUUGUAAAUAAGAUUCUGGAUGGUCACUCAUUUUAAUGCUAA